rnacentral:tRNA from 1 species
GCCUGGGUGGCUCAGUCGGUGGAGCGACUGACUUCGGCUCAGGUCAUGAUCUCAUGGUCUGUGGGUUCAAGCCCCGCGUCGGGCU